rnacentral:rRNA from 1 species
GAUGAACGCUAGCGAUAGGCCUAACACAUGCAAGUCGAGGGGCAGCACAUGAAGUAGCAAUACGGAUGGUGGCGACCGGCGCACGGGUGAGUAACACGUAUGCAACCUACCUUUAACAGGGGAAUAACCCGUUGAAAAACGGACUAAUACUCCAUAACACAGGGGUCCCGCAUGGGAAUAUUUGUUAAAGAUUUAUCGGUUGUAGAUGGGCAUGCGUUCCAUUAGCUGGUUGGUGAGGUAACGGCUCACCAAGGCAACGAUGGAUAGGGGAACUGAGAGGUUUAUCCCCCACACUGGUACUGAGACACGGACCAGACUCCUACGGGAGGCAGCAGUGAGGAAUAUUGGUCAAUGGACGCAAGUCUGAACCAGCCACGUCGCGUGAAGGAAGACGGCCCUACGGGUUGUAAACUUCUUUUGUAAGGGAAUAAAGUGCAGUACGUGUACUGUUUUGCAUGUACCUUACGAAUAAGGAUCGGCUAACUCCGUGCCAGCAGCCGCGGUAAUACGGAGGAUCCGAGCGUUAUCCGGAUUUAUUGGGUUUAAAGGGUGCGCAGGCGGGAGAUUAAGUCGGCGGUGAAAUUUUGCAGCUCAACUGUAAAAGUGCCUUCGAAACUGGUUUUCUUGAGUGUGGAUGAAGUAGGCGGAAUUUGUGGUGUAGCGGUGAAAUGCAUAGAUAUCACGAGGAACUCCGAUUGCGCAGGCAGCUUACUAAGCCAUAACUGACGCUCAGGCACGAAGGCGUGGGGAUCAAACA